rnacentral:rRNA from 1 species
GAUGAACGCUGGCGGCGUGCCUAAUACAUGCAAGUCGAGCGAACGGACGAGAAGCUUGCUCCUCUGAUGUUAGCGGCGGACGGGUGAGUAACACGUGGAUAACCUACCUAUAAGACUGGGAUAACUUCGGGAAACCGGAGCUAAUACCGGAUAAUAUUUUGAACCGCAUGGUUCAAAAGUGAAAGACGGUUUUGCUGUCACUUAUAGAUGGAUCCGCGCUGCAUUAGCUAGUUGGUAAGGUAACGGCUUACCAAGGCAACGAUGCAUAGCCGACCUGAGAGGGUGAUCGGCCACACUGGAACUGAGACACGGUCCAGACUCCUACGGGAGGCAGCAGUAGGGAAUCUUCCGCAAUGGGCGAAAGCCUGACGGAGCAACGCCGCGUGAGUGAUGAAGGUCUUCGGAUCGUAAAACUCUGUUAUUAGGGAAGAACAAAUGUGUAAGUAACUGUGCACAUCUUGACGGUACCUAAUCAGAAAGCCACGGCUAACUACGUG